UUUUAUAUAAAAAAAAAAGAAAAAAAAAAUCGAAAAACAUUGAAUGUCGGUAUAGUAAUAGAAAUACAUUUAGUUCUUUUGUUAAUGUAAUUUUUGUUUGUUGUGUUACAUCUGAUAUAUGUAAAAAAAUCGCAUAAAAUAUUUUUAAAAUUACGCAUAUAUUGUAUGUACGUUAUUGUGCUCUUUUGCUCGUGUAUUUUUUUGCACCAAAUAUGUUCUAUACUUUUUUUUUGUAUAUAUUCAAGCUUGAAGUAUAAAAGAGAAAAUAUACGCGUGCGCAUAUAUAUAUAAGUAUAAGUGUAUGAAUAAAAUUUCCCCUAACUUGGCCGAUUUCUAUUGGAGUCAUCCUACUCAAGAAUAGUUUAUUUUAUUUUUUUUUAUUCCUACAUAGUGACAUACAAACAUAAAAAAAAUAAAAUAAAUAAAUACACAAAAAUGAAGAGAGUGAUAAUUAUCCUUUGCUUAGUUUUAAUCCAAGUAUGUUUUGGCUUUAAUAACUCACCAUAUAAUAAGUCAUUAAGCAUAGCUAUAAAAAAAAGUAACACGUAUAAUAGAUGUUUACGCAGCACACGAAGUUCGAGAAAUAUAGACUUAAUUAACGACAUUAAAGAAAAUGAUCUAAUCCCGAAUGUAAAAGUAAUGAUCGACCUUAAAGAGAUGAGCAAUAAAGAAACAUCAAAAGACACAUCCGAAUUUAAAGAUGUGGACACACACGAAUUAUUUAAAAAUAAACGUAUUUUAUUAAUAAGUUUACCGGGAGCUUAUACCCCCACAUGUACAUCUAAAAUGAUACCAGAGUAUGAAAAAGAAUACGAUUAUUUUAUUAAUGAAAAAAAGUUUGAUGAUAUUUACUGUAUAACUAAUAAUGAUAUAUAUGUAUUAAAAAAUUGGUUUAAAAAUAUGGAUAUAAAAAAAAUAAAAUACAUAAGCGAUGGUAACAGUGCCUUUACUGAACGUAUGAACAUGCUUGUAGAUAAAUCCAAUUUUUUUUUGGGUAUGAGACCAUGGAGGUAUGUAGCAAUUAUUGAAAAUAAUGUAUUAAAAAAGAUGUUCCAAGAAGAGAAUAAAAUGCACAAUAUACAAUCAGAUCCGUAUAUCGUGUCAUCAUUAAGUAACGUCAAAGAGUUUUUGAAAACGCAUGAAAUAUAAAAAAAAUUGUCAAGCGAUAAAAAAAAAAAAAUAAAAAAAAAAAAAAAAAAAUUUAAAAGAUGAAU
rnacentral:lncRNA from 1 species